AGAGGUGUCUAACUCUUGGAAAGCUUUCUCCUAAAGCACAGGACUGCUGGGGAUAUUUGUGUGCAUCCAAGUAAUUUCUGUCUGACAGACUCCAAACUGGGAUGGCAGCAGGGUGAUCACAGUGUCACCUCACCUGGGAGGGCUGAGGUGGCUGCCUGGCUGUUACAAUUUAUCAUGAACUCAUCUCACUUCACUUCUGGCUCCUCUGACAGAAGGAACAGCCGGUCUCCGGGAGGUCAAAGACAUUAUUUUCCCCUAGUCUUUCUCAGUUUCCAGCACGUAUUUGUCACUUUGAAAAAGCAUGAAUUCUGGAUUUGAUGCACUUUAAUUGAUUUCACCCUCAACAAGUCCAACUGUCCAUCAACCUUUCCUUUUUCUUUCCUCUCCCCCUCCUUCACUUCUUUCCUCUGUCCCUUUGCUUUGAGAGUGAUGUUUUCACCCGCCUGCACGUUGGAGCUGUUGCAAAGCCCGUGACCCUAUCAAGGCUCACUGUCACUAGCCAUUGCUCUCAUUUUCCUUAUCCUCCAAGCUGAAUUCUGGAUGCUGAAUGAGAAUGAAGUAGGAGUGUUGGUCUGGUAAUAUCUCAGUGAUGUUCUCCUUGUAACAGUGAAAGCGGCAGCUGAUGGUCCGCUUAUUUUGAGACAACUGUGUAGAACGGGAAAUGUGAGUGGAUUCAUUCAUUAUAUGCUGGCAUCGGUAUUUAAAACAAUUUGCAGUGUUAUGGCAGAGAUGAACGUGCUGUUUCUUCUUUCCUCCUGGAAGGAUGCGUGUUCCUGGUGCUGUGCAUAUAUCCAGGGUUGUGUGGUUGUAAAUUUGGUGUGUAAAGUGGCAUUGUCUCCUGAUAAAUGGAGGUCAUAGAAUCAUAGAACAUCCUGAGUUGCAAGACAUCCACAAGGACCAUCCCAAGAAUCCUAUGAGGUGCCAUCACACACUUGUUUGGUGAAUUUUUCUGGCACGAGUGGCAAUACGGAAUAAAUGUGGGUAUGUAACAA